rnacentral:lncRNA from 1 species
GGUAGUUGUAGUGUGUCGCUCGCUUUAGUUGUUUUAGGUUGAGUCUAGGCUUAGGGUUGUAUUGAGGUUUGUGGCUUUGCCCCCUCAUGCUAGUGUGUUUGUGUUUUGUCUAGGCUAGGGCUAGUGUGAGAUGUGUUGUGCUUUUAGUCUAGUUGUGCGUGGAGGUUAGAGGUGGAGCUCCCUCACGCUUGAUUAUUGUUUUGAUGUGUUGUGUUGCAUCUAGACUAAAGUGCAUGGCUGUUUUGGAGUUAGAUUGGGAGAUACCCAAUUCUCCAGUGGUGGAGUGACCUUC